AUGAACGCUAGCGGCAGGCUUAACACNUGCAAGUCGAGGGCAGCAUGAGACAGAGAUUCGUCGAAGUCUUGAUGGCGACCGGCGCAAGGGUGCGUAACGCGUGAGCAACUUGCCCGUUUCAGGGGAUAACCGGUUGGAAACGACGACUAAUACCCCAUGGCAUCAUAAGGAGGCAUCUCCAUAUGAUUAAAGAAUUUCGGAAACGGAUAGGCUCGCGUGACAUUAGAUAGAUGGCGGGGUAACGGCCCACCAUGUCUACGAUGUCUAGGGGUUCUGAGAGGAAGGUCCCCCACACUGGAACUGAGACACGGUCCAGACUCCUACGGGAGGCAGCAGUGAGGAAUAUUGGUCAAUGGUCGAAGGACUGAACCAGCCAUGCCGCGUGAAGGUGACGGCCCUAUGGGUCUUAAACUUCUUUUGCAAGGGAGCAAUAAGGUCUACGUGUAGACCGAUGAGAGUACCUUGCGAAUAAGCAUCGGCUAACUCCGUG
rnacentral:rRNA from 1 species